ensembl:lncRNA
UGCGUGUUUACGUUACUUCGAGGAGCGCGCGAACAUGAGAAGUCGCCUCAGAAAUUUAUCCAAGAGAGUUACGAUAAGAGUCAGUGGUCUUGGCUUCUCCACUAUGGUGUGUGACGGCCUGGGGAACCGCCAACGUGGAGCUGUCCUCCUUCAAUAAACACUCAUCUCCCCUUCCUCACGGGUGUGAAAUUAUAAGCUCCUCGGACUCCCUCAUUCACAUUUUACAAGACUCCGGGUUAUUAGCCAAACAAGGUUCACACAGCCCUUCGGUCGCAGCGUCCCGUGGACGGAUCAGAGAUGUCAUCUGGUUGUCUCAAUUUGUGGAGUUUGGACUUUGGCCGGCCUCACCCCCUCCAGCUCAGAGGAUAAAGCCGGAUCAACAUCACAUCCCUUCUGGUAUCCAUGGGCUCGAGGAGGAUACAGACACUUCCUUUCUGCUCCGCAUCCAGUGCAAAAAAAAUAAGAUGAUGAACUGAUAAAGGUGAAAGUUGCAUUGAUGAGGUUCUUGAGGUACAACGGGUUUGCUGCUGUUGACUCCUGUAUCAUGGGUUUCCAUUAACUAAAAGCAGAAGAUUCUGGCUUUUCUUCAUCCCCUAGGGAAAUAACAGACCAUUUCAUUUCAACAACCAUCUAAUUCACCAUCCUAUUGUUAUGUCUUUAUUCUUCAUGUUUCCUAGUUAUUUUAUUGCGUCUGUAUAUUUGUGUGCUUGUCAUAAUUACGCCCAUAACCAAAUCUCCACUCAGAGCAAGUUCUAGCUCCCUCUUUUAAUCAAAGGAUGUACUGUAAUCAGAUUUGUGGAGACGUUUUCCUAAUGAUGCUUACUUCAAACGGGUUCUAGUGGCUCCGAAAUGACUCAUAAUGAUCCUUGGCAGUAAGUUAUAUUAUAGAGGAAAUUGAGACUUUAAAGAGCCAUUUCAGAGAAUGGGCUAUCUGUAUUAAUCACUGACUUUGUUAAAGCAUAGCUUCCAGAGAAAUGAGCUGUCAGUCCUCCACUCCUGAACACUAAUGGUGGAAGCCGCCGUAUAAAGUGUUCAAAGUGUGUUAUUCUAAAGAGCCGUUUCCAUCAUUUAGCUUUUCUCAUUAAGACAGUUUAAUAUGUUUUUGUUUCCUUCAUUUAUAUUCAGGGUUUUUUUGUGCACAGACUGAUGGGUCCUUCUGGCUGUGGCCUUGGAAAGUCAUAGGAGGAUUUACUGAAAGUUUUGCAGGGAUGCAGUGAAGGAAAAGAUCUUUGAGGAAGAUUGUUAUGGAAAAUUAAUCUACAUAUCAGAAAUGCUGUACUGGUUAAUAUCAAGCAGGCCCUUUUAUUUCUGGUUUUAACAUCUGUUAAUGCGUCUCCUGUUAUUUUGAGGGACACUGAUUUCCUAACUAUACAUUAGCCACUAUGUGCAUGUCGAUAAAGCACAUGUCCACAAGCACAGCGUUGAUCCCAAAUAUACUUUUUAUCCUCGAGUAUAUAUAUACUUUUUAAAUCGAGUACCUGCAUUAUUAGUUAUUAGCAUUAUUUAAACAUGUAGAAAUCCUCGAAACAAGUGCACAUUUUUUUUUCAUGAAACAUUUUUCAUGUGCAGCAACA